UUCUCUUCUUCCUCAGGAACACAAAACCAAACUCCUUCACCAACAUUUCAAAAGCUCUCUUUAUUCACCAACAAUUCAAAAGAUCUGUUCCUAUUUAUCAAACACUAACUCAAAAACCAAUGGAUCAGAUCAACGUAUCAGUUCACCAAAACGGCAAAACCGAAGCGAUGUUGUUGUGCGGCGGAGUAGAGAAGACUAAAGUGAUUGUGGCGGCGGAUCCGUUGAAUUGGGGUGCUGCGGCGGAGCAGAUGAAAGGGAGUCAUUUGGAUGAGGUGAAGAGGAUGGUUGAGGAGUACCGUAGACCGGUGGUGAAUCUCGGGGGAGAAACGCUCACGAUCGGACAAGUCGCGGCGAUCUCGAACGUAGGCGGUGGAGUGAAGGUCGAGCUAGCGGAGGCUUCGAGAGCUGGCGUGAAAGCUAGCAGCGAUUGGGUUAUGGAGAGUAUGGGUAAAGGUACUGACAGUUACGGUGUAACCACCGGGUUUGGAGCUACUUCUCACCGGAGAACCAAAAACGGUACCGCAUUGCAAACCGAACUCAUCAGGUUUUUGAACGCCGGAAUCUUCGGGAACACGAAGGAGACAUGCCACACGCUACCGGAAUCCGCCACGAGAGCCGCCAUGCUCGUCCGAGUCAACACACUCCUCCAAGGAUACUCCGGGAUCCGAUUCGAAAUCCUCGAAGCGAUCACCAGCCUCCUCAACCACAACAUAUCUCCGUCUCUCCCCCUCCGCGGAACCAUAACCGCCUCCGGCGAUCUCGUCCCCCUCUCCUACAUCGCCGGCCUCCUCACCGGCCGUCCGAACUCCAAAGCCACCGGUCCCGACGGCGAAUCCCUAACCGCCGAAGAAGCCUUCAAGAAAGCCGGAAUCGCAUCCGGAUUCUUCGAUCUACAGCCUAAGGAAGGCUUAGCGCUCGUCAACGGCACGGCGGUUGGAUCCGGCAUGGCGUCGAUGGUUCUCUUCGAAGCGAACGUUCAAUCGGUCCUCGCCGAGGUUUUAUCGGCGAUCUUCGCGGAAGGUGAUGAGCGGGAAGCCGGAGUUCACCGAUCAUUUGACUCACCGACUCAAACACCACCCCGGACAAAUCGAAGCGGCGGCGAUCAUGGAGCACAUCCUCGACGGGAGCUCGUACAUGAAGUUAGCGCAGAAGCUUCACGAGAUGGAUCCGUUGCAGAAACCGAAACAAGACCGUUACGCGCUCCGCACGUCUCCUCAGUGGCUAGGCCCUCAGAUCGAAGUGAUCCGUCACGCCACCAAGUCGAUCGAGCGUGAGAUCAACUCCGUUAACGACAAUCCGUUAAUCGACGUUUCGAGGAACAAAGCGAUUCACGGCGGUAACUUCCAGGGGACUCCUAUAGGUGUCUCUAUGGACAACACGCGUUUAGCGAUUGCAGCUAUCGGGAAGCUCAUGUUCGCUCAGUUCUCCGAGCUUGUUAACGACUUUUACAAUAACGGUCUUCCGUCGAAUUUAACCGCUUCCAACAACCCGAGCUUGGAUUACGGAUUCAAAGGAGCUGAGAUCGCCAUGGCUUCUUACUGCUCUGAGCUUCAGUACCUAGCCAAUCCGGUUACGAGCCAUGUUCAGUCAGCUGAGCAGCAUAACCAAGAUGUUAACUCUUUAGGACUCAUUUCGUCUCGUAAAACGUCUGAAGCUGUUGACAUUCUCAAGCUGAUGUCCACAACGUUCCUCGUCGCUAUAUGUCAAGCUGUUGAUUUGCGACAUCUUGAGGAGAAUCUGAGACAGACUGUGAAGAAUACUGUUUCUCAAGUGGCGAAGAAAGUGUUGACCACUGGAGUCAACGGGGAGUUGCAUCCAUCAAGGUUCUGUGAGAAAGACUUGCUUAAGGUCGUUGAUCGUGAACAGGUGUUUACGUAUGUUGACGAUCCUUGUAGCGCUACUUACCCAUUGAUGCAGAAGUUAAGACAAGUUAUUGUUGAUCACGCUUUAUCCAAUGGGGAGAGUGAGAAGAACGCAGUGAGUUCGAUCUUUCAAAAGAUUGGAGCUUUUGAGGAGGAGCUCAAGGUGGUUCUUCCUAAAGAAGUUGAGGCGACUAGAGAGGCUUACGGUAACGGAACAGCUGUGAUUCCGAACAGGAUUAAGGAAUGUCGGUCUUAUCCAUUGUAUAAGUUUGUGAGGGAGGAGCUCGGAACGAAGUUGUUGACCGGAGAAAAGGUUGUGUCUCCGGGAGAGGAGUUUGAUAAGGUGUUCACUGCAAUGUGUGAAGGUAAGAUUAUUGAUCCACUGAUGGAUUGUCUCAAGGAAUGGAACGGAGCUCCCAUUCCCAUAUGCUAAGAGAAGCAUUCCUCUGUUUUGCUCUGUUUUAUUUUGUCCAGCUUCAGUUUUGUUGCUUUUACUUCGUCUUUUUAUAUGUUUGAAUUUGAGUUUUUUACCAGUGACUGAUUGUAAUGUGAAUGGUGUCACUUUGUAUAAUAUAUAUGAAAGUUACGUGUAAUUUAUUUGAUGCA